rnacentral:rRNA from 1 species
GAUGAACGCUGGCGGCGUGCCUAAUACAUGCAAGUCGAGCGAACGGACGAGAAGGUUGCUUUUCUGAUGUUAGCGGCGGACGGGGGAGUAACACGUGGAGAACCUACCUAUAAGACUGGGAUAACUUCGUGAAACCGGAACUAAUACCGGAUAAUAUUUUGAACAGCAUGGUUCAAAAGUGAAAGACGGUCUUGCUGUCACUGAUAGAUGGAUCCGCGCUGCAUUAGCUAGUUGGUAAGGUAACGGCUUACCAAGGCAACGAUGCAUAGCCGACCUGAGAGGGUGAUCGGCCACACUGGAACUGAGACACGGUCCAGACUCCUACGGGAGGCAGCAGUAGGGAAUCUUCCGCAAUGGGCGAAAGCCUGACGGAGCAACGCCGCGUGAGUGAUGAAGGUCUUCGGAUCGUAAAACUCUGUUAUUAGGGAAGAACAUAUGUGUAAGUAACUGUGCACAUCUUGACGGUACCUAAUCAGAAAGCCACGGCUAACUACGUG